AUAUUGGUCAAUGGACGCAAGUCUGAACCAGCCAUGCCGCGUGAAGGAUGAAGGUCCUCUGGAUUGUAAACUUCUUUUAUCUGGGACGAAAACGGGAUUUUUAUCUCAAUUGACGGUACCAGAGGAAUAAGCACCGGCUAACUCCGUGCCAGCAGCCGCGGUAAUACGGAGGGUGCGAGCGUUAUCCGGAUUUACUGGGUUUAAAGGGUGCGUAGGUGGGCUUAUAAGUCAGUGGUGAAAUCUCCGAGCUUAACUUGGAAACUGCCGUUGAUACUAUAGGCCUUGAAUUAUCUGGAGGUAAGCGGAAUAUGUCAUGUAGCGGUGAAAUGCUUAGAUAUGACAUAGAACACCAAUUGCGAAGGCAGCUUACUACAUAUAAAUUGACGCUGAGGCGCGAAAGCGUGGGGAGCAAACA
rnacentral:rRNA from 1 species